rfam:Oryza sativa Japonica Group DNA, chromosome 12, cultivar: Nipponbare, complete sequence.
AGAUCGUGGUUUUGUAUCGUUUAUCGCCAAUGUUUGACCGUCCAUCUUAUUUUAAAAAAAUUAUGAUUAGUAUUUCUGUUGUUAUUAGAUGAUAAAACAUAAAUAAUACUUUAUGUGUGACUAUUUUCUUAAAAAAAUUUCUUUAAAAAAUUUUCAAAUAAGAUAAACGGGGAUACGGAAACUUACAACUGUACUAGGA